GAUUGUAUAAUGGUAUGAGUCGUCGACUGCGUCGUCCAAAGACACAUUGGUUUUCGGAUAAUAACUUUAGAUAAAGUGAAUAGAUCUUUAUGAAAUUUUAUCACAAGGUUCAAUACCACAAAAGGAAGGUUGGGAUUUUGGGGGUAAUUGUCCCAACCGUUUAGGAAUUAGGGGCCCAAAACAAGCAUUUUUCUAGUUUCAGGAUAAUAACUUGUGUACAAGUAUUUCAAUUGCUCUGAAAUUAUACCACAAUGUUUAAAACCACAAGUAGAAGGUUUGGAUUCAUUAUAGGGGUUAUGGGGCUAAAGUUUAGGAAUUAAGGGCCAAAAAGGGGCCAAAAGUCCAAAACAAGUAUUUUUCUAGUUUCCAGACAAUAACUUGUGUGUAAUUGUAUGGAUCUCUCUGAAAUUGUACCACAAUGUACCAUAUAUCAAAAGGGAGGCUGGGAUUAAGUUUUGGGUUAAUUGCCAAAAAUAUGUACGAAUUAGGGCCAAAAAGAAGCAUGUUUCUAGUUUCCAAAAAAUCAUGACAAUAACUUUUGUUUAAGUGUAUGGAAUCACUAUGGAUCUCUCUGAAAUUGUACUACAAGGUUCAAUACUACAAAGGAAAGCAUGGGAUUGAGUUUAAGGGUUAUUGUUUCAAUAAGUUGGGGGGAAUUUUUUUUUACCAUUUUUUUAAGGGAUUCCCUUUUUUUUCAAAAUUUUUCAAAUUUGAAAUUUUGAAAAGUUUCAAGAAGAAAUCUUCAAUUGCACAGAAUUGUGCAAUAGAUUUGUUAGAUCUUUG
rnacentral:lncRNA from 1 species